GUACAGCGAUCUCCCCUACUGUUCGAUUGUGUUCUGACAGGGGUACAGUCCCCCCCCCUAAAGAAACACUCCGGUCAGAUUGCUGAACGGGAGCCAGUCGGCUUUUUCAGUCAUGGCCCUUUUUUCGGUCAUGCCCCUUUGAACCAGCUGCCGUACUCAUGGGCUGAAUGUCUCUGUUGCCGCCCGAUAUUUGGCCCAUAUGUACGGAGCUUAAGACUUCUGUUUUCACGUUAUCACUCAUCUUUACGGAGCUCAAGCACGGUCCAUUGUUGUCAUGGGGGAAUCCAUUCAGCAGUUGCUAGAGUGCUAUAUGUAGCAGCACUGGUGAUAUGCAACAAAGGAGAGAAAUUCCAAUUCUGUACCUAUUUUUCUGAACAUAUAUGCAAUAUGUUAAACAUGGUUGAGCUUUUUUAAUUCUGGGUUUUUUCAAAAGCAAAUAUAAUGUCUAAUGAUUUUUCGAGGCGGUGGAGAGUUUUCUUUUGCAUUACCAGAAAUCAUGCUGCAUUAUUUUUGCAGCUAGGUGGCACUAAUAAUUGGUCGGUCUUGUUGCUGACCUCUUAGUCCCAGUCCCCCACAUAUCUUCAUAUCCGUCAGUUUACUUGUUGAUGUGUUCCUUGCAUUUUCAUCAUACUUUAUUUUGUAUGACAUCAUGUGUUCUUGAGUAUGCACAGCCCAAUGUGCGCCAUAGAAUGUAAGGUGAGUUGACUCCCAGAGUGUUGACGACAGGUGUCUGUUAACACAUUGGAAGCUGUCUUGUUUACUGUGGGAGUUGCACUGAAAUUCGAAGCAGAGGCUCCUGUACCCCCUCCUCUGUAUGUUCUUAGCAGAGUAUUAGGGGUGGGGUACUGCAAUGCAUCCUCCUGCAAGAGCCCUACUAGGGCUGGAGUAAUCUGACCUGUAGCUAUAUUGAGGCUGACAGCAUAAAGGAUCAGUGACAGAAGCUCUGCACGUAUUGAAGCUCUUCACAUCCUUCUUCUGUCCAGACAGGUGGAGAACAUAGAAAACGUUGGCAUAAACCCCAAAGCGCAGAACGACGUUUCCAAGGUCUUCAACGGAGUGAACCAUCCCUCUUUUGACGCA